GACGGAGGGUGCAAGCGUUAUCCGGAUUUACUGGGUUUAAAGGGUGCGUAGGCUGUUUAGUAAGUCAAUAGUGAAAACCAGCAGCUUAACUGUUGGCCUGCUAUUGAUACUGCUAGACCAGAGUAUAGUAGAGGUAAGUGGAAUUUUACAUGGAGCAGUGAAAUGCGUAGAUAUGUAGAGGAACGCCAAUAACGAAGGUAACUUACUGGGCUAUUACUGACGCUGAGGCACGAAAGCGUGGGGAGCAAACAGG
rnacentral:rRNA from 1 species